CACGUAGGGCGCAAGCGUUGUCCGGAAUUAUUGGGCGUAAAGGGCGCGUAGGCGGUGUGGCAAGUCAGGUGUGAAACCUCCAGGCUCAACUUGGAGCUUGCAUCUGAAACUGCCGUGCUAGAGUGUGGGAGAGGAGAGUGGAAUUCCUGGUGUAGCGGUGAAAUGCGUAGAUAUCAGGAGGAACACCGGUGGCGAAGGCGGCUCUCUGGACCACAACUGACGCUGAGGCGCGAAAGCUAGGGGAGCAAACAGG
rnacentral:rRNA from 1 species